CCUACGGGAGGCAGCAGUGAGGAAUAUUGGUCAAUGGGCGCAAGCCUGAACCAGCCAUGCCGCGUGCAGGAUGACUGCCCUACGGGUUGUAAACUUCUUUUAUACAGGAAUAAAUUGAGGCACGUGUGCCUUUUUGUAUGUACUUUAUGAAUAAGGAUCGGCUAACUCCGUGCCAGCAGCCGCGGUAAUACGGAGGAUUCGAGCGUUAUCCGGAUUUAUUGGGUUUAAAGGGAGCGUAGGUGGGUUGUUAAGUUAGUGGUGAAAGGUUGCGGCUCAACCGUGACAUUGCAUUUGAUACUGGCAGGCUAGAGGUCAGUUGAGGUAGGCGGAAUGCGUGGUGUAGCGGUGAAAUGCUUAGAGAUCACGAAGAACACCGAUUGCGAAGGCAGCCUACUAAACUGCCACUGACAUUGAGGCACGAAAGUGUGGGGAGCAAACAGGAUUAGAUACCCGAGUAGUC
rnacentral:rRNA from 1 species